ACUCCGUGAUGAGGGCACUUUCGUAAUAAUUCUUUGUACCUUUCCCAUGCCUCAUACAAUGACUCAUCAUCCAUUUGUUGGAAAGCAGUGAUCUCGUUCCUCAACUU
rnacentral:snoRNA from 1 species